rnacentral:rRNA from 1 species
GAUGAACGCUGGCGGCGUGCCUAAUACAUGCAAGUCGAGCGAACAGAUGAGGAGCUUGCUCCUCUGACGUUAGCGGCGGACGGGUGAGUAACACGUGGAUAACCUACCUAUAAGACUGGGAUAACUUCGGGAAACCGGAUCUAAUACCGGAUAAUAUAUUGAACCGCAUGGUUCAAUAGUGAAAGACGGUUUUGCUGUCACUUAUAGAUGGAUCCGCGCCGCAUUAGAUAGUUGGUAAGGUAACGGCUUACCAAGGCAACGAUGCGUAGCCGACCUGAGAGGGUGAUCGGCCACACUGGAACUGAGACACGGUCCAGACUCCUACGGGAGGCAGCAGUAGGGAAUCUUCCGCAAUGGGCGAAAGCCUGACGGAGCAACGCCGCGUGAGUGAUGAAGGUCUUCGGAUCGUAAAACUCUGUUAUUAGGGAAGAACAAAUGUGUAAGUAACUAUGCACGUCUUGACGGUACCUAAUCAGAAAGCCACGGCUAACUACGUG